GGACUCACUUUGGCAGCACAUAUAGUAAAACUGGAAUGGUACAGAGAAGAUUAGCAUGGCCACUGUGCAGGAAUGGCACACAGAUUCCUGAAGCAUUCCAUAUUUUU